rnacentral:rRNA from 1 species
GGCUUAGAAGCAGCCACUCAUUAAAAGAGUGCGUAAUAGCUCACUGGUCGAGUGAUUCUGCGCCGAAAAUUUAACGGGGCUAAACUAUACACCGAAGCUUAGGAUACCGCAAGGUAUGGUAGGAGAGCGUUCUGUACGGAGUGAAGUCGUAGCGAAAGCGGCGGUGGACUGUACAGAAGUGAGAAUGCCGGAAUAAGUAGCGAGAAUUAAGUGAGAAUCUUAAUGGCCGAAAGUCUAAGGUUUUUGGAGGAAGGUUCGUCCGCUCCAAGUAAGUCGGGAGCUAAGGUCAGGCCGAAAGGCGUAGCCGAUGCACAAACGGUUGAUAUUCCGUUACCGUCUACAAUUUAAACAAAGGGACACAUACAAAGCGUUUAACCCGGGCGAUGGUUGACCCGGGCGCAAGGGACUGAAAUAAGAGUAGGGAAGUAAAUGUGGCGUAUGGCGAGAAAAGCUUUGUGAAUAGAAGUAGACGCCCGUACCGCAAACCGACACAGGUGGACAGGAAGAGAAUUCUAAGGCCAGCGGGAGAAGGGUAGUUAAGGAACUCGGCAAAUUGACUCCGUAACUUCGGAAUAAGGAGUGCUCGAAAGAGCCGCAGAGAAUAGGCCCAGGCGACUGUUUAGCAAAAACACAGGUCUCUGCCAAAUCGAAAGAUGAAGUAUAGGGGCUGACACCUGCCCGGUGCCGGAAGGUUAAGAGGAGGAGUGCAAGCUCCGAAUUGAAGCCCCGGUAAACGGCGGCCGUAACUAUAACGGUCCUAAGGUAGCGAAAUUCCUUGUCGGGUAAGUUCCGACCCGCACGAAUGGCGUAACGACUUGGGCACUGUCUCAACAAGGGACCCGGCGAAAUUGUAGUAUGUGUGAAGAUGCACAUUACCCGCGAUAGGACGGAAAGACCCCGUAGAGCUUUACUGUAGCUUGACAUUGGAUUUUGGUAACAUAUGUACAGGAUAGGUGGGAGGCGGAGAAAUCAGUACGCCAGUACUGAUGGAGCCGACGUUGGGAUACCACUCUUAUGUUACUGAAGUUCUAACGAGUAGCCGUGAACCGGUACUUGGACAGUGUCAGGUGGGCAGUUUGACUGGGGCGGUCGCCUCCGAAAAGGUAACGGAGGCGUUCAAAGGUUCCCUCAGAAUGGUUGGAAACCAUUCGCAGAGUGCAAAGGCAGAAGGGAGCUUGACUGUGACACCGACGGGUGGAGCAGGUACGAAAGUAGGACUUAGUGAUCCGGUGGUAUGAAAGUGGGAUUGCCAUCGCUCAACGGAUAAAAGCUACCCUGGGGAUAACAGGCUU